rnacentral:rRNA from 1 species
UACGUAGGGCGCAAGCGUUGUCCGGAUUUAUUGGGCGUAAAGAGUUCGUAGGCGGUCUGUCGCGUCGGAAGUGAAAUCCCGGAGCUCAACUCCGGGCCUGCUUUCGAUACGGGCAGACUUGAGUGUUGCAGGGGAGACUGGAAUUCCUGGUGUAGCGGUGGAAUGCGCAGAUAUCAGGAAGAACACCGGUGGCGAAGGCGGGUCUCUGGGCAACAACUGACGCUGAGGAACGAAAGCGUGGGGAGCAAACAGGAUUAGAUACCCCUGUA